rnacentral:misc_RNA from 1 species
AUCCGAAAUAAAUAAGAACGUCAAUUUGCUAGGCAAAAGCCUUCAGACUAAGACCUGACAACUUGUCUAUGACAACAACUUGAUGCAUUUUUUGAGUUAGCAAGUGUACGAGAAAAAGAUGAGAAUUAUGAUCAUUUAGAAAUUAUAAUUCAAAAAAAAAAAACAAAGAAAUAAUCAUUUCAGUUUCACGAAACGAUUAUAGAUUAUAUUUAUACUAACAACUUGAGGAUAGGAGAUCGUUUAGCGUUCCAAUAUUUUUUAAUUUGUUACUUGAAAUAGCUAGUUAAUUAUAGAUAGGCAGCUUGAACAUUAAAACAAGUUUUUUACCUACCCUAAAUUGAUUAAUUACCGGCGUAGCAACUGACCCGUUUCACACGAAAACAGAGGGAAUAUAACUUUAUAAAACAUACAAAAAUGUUUUCGCUGAUGGUUUUUUUAUUUAGAAUUUAUAAUUAGAUUUGGUGAAGGCCCGCCCUUUUGAUUAACUGAGUUAAGGUGUAAGUUACAAACUUUAGGUUUUACUAAGAGUUUAUUACUCAUUUUUUUUAAAUAAUAAACAUACAUUGUACUUAAGUUUUUAGUCUUUUAUAGUCUACUAGGCGACUCUUCAAACUUUGUAGCUAUCAACAUUUUUUUUUCGUGAAAUAUAUUUUUUAAUUUUCUUUUAAACAAACUUUGUCCUGACAACAACUAACACUAGAAGAAUAUCCAAUUUGUUGCUUUUCAUCGGCAGUUAUGCGCGUACAUACACUUCGGUGAUUCCUUUUUAUUUGUAUAUAUUUUAUGACUCAAUUAUAAUUACUUAAUAGCGGGCAUUCCUUCGUUUCACUUUAGCUCAGGGACGUCAAUUUUGCAGAGGGCCAUAUAUUUAAUUAUGAAUGUGUAGGCGUGCCAGAUUCAAUUAAAAAACGUAUUAUGCGCAUUUUUAAACCUCAGUAGAGAAAUCGAGUGAAGUCAUGUUUCUUCUUUUUAUGCCUCAUUGCGAUCGCGGGCCGUUUCUUUGACACCCCUGUUUUAGUUGAUAUCUUUGCUUUUGUUUUGCAUAUCCUAGUCUUUAAAGCCAUUUUACUUCUAUAGCAAAUAUUAUAGUUUUCUUGGACAAAAGAUUAUGAUCUUCAAAACUGACUUAAAAUUUAAUAAUUAAAAACAAAUCAUUUGCUAUUUUAUUUAAACAUAUAGAUUAUCAAGCGAACAGAGAUUAACGAGUCCACAUAAACAAACAAGUUCUUUGACUUUUAUUACAUUCAUAAAUCGAUAUUUUGUAUGGUUAUCAAAAGAUAUCAUUCCGAUUAUGUCAUUACAAAGUAUGUAACAAAAUUAAAGUGGUAACAUUGUGUGGACAAAGCUUAAAUUCGUUAUAUAAUCAUUAAAAUUUAUGAUGAAAUAAACCAAUUAAGCAUGUGUAUAUGAGUCAAACUUUAAUUCAAGUGAACGAAACAUAAUAAUCCAUACUCCUUCAUCUUUAUAUGCGUUGGAACUACAAAGUGUGUUGUUAUCAGAGUAAAUGUAAUAUAUUAUUUUCUUUUUAUUUGAAAAUACAUAUUAAAUAUGGAAUAAGUUACUAUUUUUAUAGCUUCUUAUUUAAAUCGCUUACGUUUACAAAUUACACUACGCCAAAAGAGCCAGUCAGGAGGCGGGCAUGUAGCGAUGACCCGGUAAGGAUAAAAAUUCGAUUACAAUUAAAUUAACUGCACUCCUAUUUGUUUUGCAUUAGUCGUGUCAGAUUUAAAUUACAACAU